AGGAACCAAGACAAAGUACAUGAGGCAUCCGAAGAAAGUAAGAACUGAGGCAGAGACACACGAGGAGGGUUUGGGCCUGAUGGCAUCCGCUCCACGCUCCUCAACUCCUGCGCUGACCAGCUGUGCAGGAUUAUGGAGCACAUCUUCGAUAUGAGCAUGACUGGGGAGAAAUCCACAUUCCUGGAAGAGCUCCUGAAUGGUACCAGUGCCUAAGACUACACUCCCCAGUACAGGGGCGCUCCCGAAGACCUUUUAUGACACUGUUGGGAUCGGCCAUCUUCUUUGGACUCGGCCGAGGCAGCAUCAUUUUAACCGCCGACAGGAAGAGACUGGAUAGACUGGUUAGGAGGGCCAACCCGGUCCUGGGAUACCUGCUUGACCCAGUGGAGGUGGUGAGACAGAGGAGGAUUGAUAACCAGUCCCACCCUCUGCAGGACACCAUCACAGCACUGGGCAGCUCCUUCAGCGACAGACGGAGAGGUGUUGCCGGUCGCUCCUUCCUGCAGCAGUAAGACUGUACAACCAGCUCUUGCUCCCAGUGAACCACAUGCACCUUUAAUGGACUUCUGCACUUCAACUCAGCUGACCUGUCGGGGCCUCUCGGUGCUUCAGAAAUAAUAACGGCACUGAGAACGGCAACAGCAGUGACAAGAGCUAUUACAAUGUCGCCCGACACAGCAACAGAGGACAGACAGCACUCAACUCCAGAUGGGCGCUUCCUGUGCCAGGCAGGAAAUGGCACCGUGCUCCCUCGCCAUCAUAUUUCAUUUUAGCAGGGACGGGAGAUGAUCAUCACUUCAUCUUCGGCACAUCCAUCCCUCCCAACGGUCUUCUCUCUCCCUGCCGCUCACUCCUGCCCUCCUCUGUGGUGCCUUCAAGUCAUCCUCCGUCACCCCACCUCUCUGACACCUCUCCUGCCACCCAACAGUUAAGUGCAUUUGCAGACCUGCUCAGAUAGGCUGUCAUAUAUAUUUCAAAGGCGUUUCAAAGCACAUUCAGACAGACUGAAUGCACAUUCACCGAGAGGCCAUGCAGGGUGCACUCCUGCGCCGG